rnacentral:rRNA from 1 species
CGGCCCACCAAGGCGACGAUGCGUAGGGGUUCUGAGAGGAAGGUCCCCCACACUGGUACUGAGACACGGACCAGACUCCUACGGGAGGCAGCAGUGAGGAAUAUUGGUCAAUGGCCGCAGGGCUGAACCAGCCAAGUCGCGUGAGGGAUGACGGUCCUAUGGAUUGUAAACCUCUUUUGUCAGGGAGCAAAGGGCGCCACGUGUGGCGUUUUGCGAGUACCUGAAGAAAAAGCAUCGGCUAACUCCGUGCCAGCAGCCGCGGUAAUACGGAGGAUGCGAGCGUUAUCCGGAUUUAUUGGGUUUAAAGGGUGCGCAGGCGGAAUGUCAAGUCAGCGGUAAAAUUUCGGGGCUCAACCCCGUCGUGCCGUUGAAACUGGCGUUCUUGAGUGAGCGAGAAGUAUGCGGAAUGCGUGGUGUAGCGGUGAAAUGCAUAGAUAUCACGCAGAACUCCGAUUGCGAAGGCAGCAUACCGGCGCUCAACUGACGCUCAUGCACGAAAGCGUGGGUAUCGAACAGGAUUAGAUACCCUGGUAGUCCACGCAGUAAACGAUGAAUACUAACUGUCCGGGC